rnacentral:rRNA from 1 species
UACGUAGGUGGCAAGCGUUGUCCGGAAUUAUUGGGCGUAAAGCGCGCGCAGGCGGUCCCUUAAGUCUGAUGUGAAAGCCCACGGCUCAACCGUGGAGGGUCAUUGGAAACUGGGGGACUUGAGUGCAGAAGAGGAAAGUGGAAUUCCAUGUGUAGCGGUGAGAUGCGUAGAGAUGUGGAGGAACACCAGUGGCGAAGGCGACUUUCUGGUCUGUAACUGACGCUGAGGCGCGAAAGCGUGGGGAGCAAACAGG